AUCAUUUUUUAUUUAAACAUUCUCUAAUAAACUUUUAAAUCUGUUCUGUUCUUAUCAGUUUAAUCUCUGAUAUGUCCUUGAUGUGAGGACUGUAUGUUAACUUGAUUUUUGAAAUGAGGGGUUCAGAACAGAAGCUUGCUUUGUCUGCCCUAUGCAUCGACCUGGUAUUGCAGUGUUUCCAGGAACGGUGUAUCUCCC